rnacentral:rRNA from 1 species
CAAGUCGAGCGGGAUCGGGAAUAGYAAUGUUCCCGUGAGAGCGGCGGAAGGGUGAGUAUCGCGUGGGUGACCUGCCCACCGGGUGGGGAUAACCCUCUGAAAGGAGGGCUAAUACCGAAUGUGGUUAGGGACGGCAUCGUCCCUGGACUAAAGGCCGGGAUCCGCAAGGACCGGCCCCCGGAGGAUGGGCCCGCGUGCCAUCAGCUUGUUGGCGGGGUAACGGCCCACCAAGGCGAUGACGGCUAGCUGGUCUGAGAGGACGACCAGCCACACUGGGACUGAGAUACUGCCCAGACUCCUACGGGAGGCUGCAGUCGAGGAUCAUUCGCAAUGGGGGAAACCCUGACGAUGCGACGCUGCGUGGAGGAUGAAGGCCCUCGGGUCGUAAACUCCUGUCAUGCGGGGCGAAGCGGAGCGAGUUAACAGCUCGCCGAGCGGACGGUACCGCAAGAGGAAGCCACGGCUAACUCUGUGCCAGCAGCCGCGGUAAUACAGAGGUGGCGAGCGUUGUUCGGAUUUACUGGGCGUAAAGGGCGCGUAGGCGGCCUUGUAUGUCGGGUGUGAAAUCUCCGGGCCCAACCCGGAAAGUGCGCCCGAAACUGCAAGGCUCGAGGACGGAAUGGGAGUGCGGAAUGCAGGGUGUAGCGGUGAAAUGCGUUGAUCUCCUGCAGAACACCGGUGGCGAAGGCGGCACUCUGGGACGUAUCUGACGCUGAGGCGCGAAAGCAGGGGGAGCAAACAGGAUUAGAUACCCUGGUAGUCCCUGCCCUAAACGGUGUGCACUUGCCGUGGCCGGUUUUCACCCCGGCCGUGGCGGAGCUAACGCGUUAAGUGCACCGCCUGGGGAGUACGGCCGCAAGGCUAAAACUCAAAGAAAUUGACGGGGGCCCGCACAAGCGGAGGAGCAUGUGGCUUAAUUCGAUGCAACGCGAAGAACCUUACCCGGGUUUGACAUGCAGCUGCAAGUCCCAUGAAAGUGGGAUCCCUUCGAGGGUGCUGCACAGGUGCUGCAUGGCUGUCGUCAGUUCGUGCCGUGAGGUGUUUGGUUAAGUCCAGCAACGAACGCAACCCCUGCGCCUAGUUACCAGCGAGUAACGUCGGGGACUCUAGGCGGACCGCCCGUGCAAGCGGGAGGAAGGUGGGGAUGACGUCAAGUCAGCAUGGCCCUUACGCCCGGGGCUGCACACGUGCUACAAUGGCCGGCACAAUGGGACGCAAAACCGCAAGGUCACGCAAACCCCCAGAACCGGCCCCAGUUCGGAUUGGAGUCUGCAACUCGACUCCAUGAAGCCGGAUUCGCUAGUAACGGCGCAUCAGCUACGGCGCCGUGAAUACGUUCCCGGGCCUUGUACACACCGCCCGUCACAUCAUGAAAGCCGUCUGCACCCGAAGCCGGCCAGCCAACCCGCAAGGGAGGCGCCCGUCUAAGGUGUGGGUGGUGAUUGGGAUG